rnacentral:misc_RNA from 1 species
CUUCGAACGCACAUUGCGGUCUUCGGAUACUGUUCCUGGACCACUCCUGGCUGAGGGUCGUUUCAAUUUCCACGACUGCCGGGCGUGUCGUUACAUGCGCCGCUACGUACGGUGCUCGCCGCCGAGGCAAAUAUAUGGCCGUUCGCGAGAAGCCGUAACGUCGUUCGUUUCGUAUAGCCCCGCAUUAGUUCGGAGGCGGCGGAACGUUUACACACGAUGUAAGCUAUAUCGCGUCGGUUUAAAUUACCGCCACUAUAAUUAAGGUUCGCGGCGAACAGCGUGUUAUUAUACACGCCCGUCGGAACUCGACUGUGGUCGACGUGUCAGAGACGAGACCGAGGAUGAUAUGAUGAAAUGCUUCUUGCAUAUUCUCGUUAUCCCAAGAGUUUUGCGUUGCGGGGAACGGGUAUCGUCGUCGUAGUCGUCGUCGAAGUAUUUGUCAGUGUUUAUUGUUCAGCGAUAACGAAGGUAGUGAUGUAAGUACGAUGACCAAGAAGAAGUCCGUCGUCUUCUCAUUAUUUAUUAUGUCGCGAUAACUAACACAUAGACAAGACUCGCGCUCGACGACAGAUUACCACGUUUAACCAACCGUCGUCAGACCUAUCGGUUCGACAUUCGCCGCGGGUUAGAGUUAACUCGUCGCCCAUAGAAGCGACGGAACCACAACCCCAUUGUGCGAAUAACGGGCGUGUGCCGUUUGUGUGACCGACGAAAAGGCGUGUUUAUAAAUUUUAUGAACGA